CAAAUAUAUUCAGGAUAAAGAAAAACAAGAGGCUGUCACAACGACAGCAAACCGGAUUUAUUAAUAUUUAUUUGUAUCCUGGCAAAAUCACAAGAACCAUUACUGAUGAAUGGUGAAAGUGAAAAUCGUCAAUAUCAAAUUUGACCUCCAUUUUGUCAUCAGUAUCAACAUUUUAAAAUUUGAAAAGCUUAGAUUGAAUGGUUCAUGAGUAAAUGCAACAACGUGAAUGGAAACGCCAUUUCACAAUCUUUCAAGAACCAUAACUCCUGAACGGUAAAAGUCGAAAUCGUCAUUAUUGAACUUGACCUCUAUUUUG
rnacentral:lncRNA from 1 species